AGGGGUAGACAUUGGAAAAAAGUGUAUCAAGCAAAAAGUAUAUGCAUGCAUAAUAGAAAAGCCCGUGUCACAUUGAAAAUUCAAUAGAGCGAAAAGCUGGGCAACGGGUGGAAAGUCCCAGUUUUGUUUUGUUUUUAAAGAAUUAAGCAAGAACUAAAACCUCUAUCUUAACUCUGAGUUCUAAACA
ensembl:ncRNA C41G11.11 ncRNA